GAAAUGCGAUAAGUAAUGUGAAUUGCAGAAUUCAGUGAAUCAUCGAAUCUUUGAACGCACAUUGCGCCCUUUGGUAUUCCGAAGGGCAUACCCGUUCGAGCGUCAUUAAACCCACUCAAGCCUGGCUUGGUAUUGGGCGGCGGGGUGUCCCCGCGCCUCAAAUUCAUCGGCGAGAUUUUUCGAUCGCAAGCGUUAUGGUUUUUCAACUCGCGAAGCGAUUUCGAUGGAUCUCGGCCGUUAAACCUUUCAAUCAAGGUUGACCUCGGAUCGGGUAGGGAUACCCGCUGAACUUAA
rnacentral:misc_RNA from 1 species